UGAGUAAAUUAUGCUUUAAUUUGAAUAAUUAAUUGACCGUUUAUAUACAAAUGAAUUAUCUUAAAUUGAUAAAUUUAAAUUUGAAAUUGGUUUUGGAUUUAUAUGUCUUAAAUAUGUUUUAAUGCUCCUUAAAUGUGUUGUCUGUAUAUUAUGGAGAUUAGUCAACUUUUCUUAAGUUAUAAUCAAUUACCAUCCAAAUUUGAAAAUUGUUUACUUUUAUUAUUUUUCAAAGAUUCAAAAUUUAAAAACCAUUUAUGGGUGUCAUUAAUGAUGACUUUAUUGUGCCUUUAAUGGCUUUAUCGUGCCUUUUAUGGCUUUUUGUUCCAAUUAUGGAUGCCACUUUUAAUGGCUUAUUGACCAUUUUGAUGAUCAUUUUAUUUAAUUAUAUUUAAUUAUAUUUCAUCCUUUACUCC
rnacentral:lncRNA from 1 species